CAUGAGUUUGGACUUUACACUGUCACUGGUGCAGUCUACAGGAGGCUUUAGCAGUAGACAGGCCUCCGCUCUCUUCCGGGUGCUCAAGACUUUCAAGGGAGCCAGAUCAGUCAGAGCUUUACGUUUGCUCAAAGCCAUCCGGUGAGGAAAAUUACACACCCAUUGUCAUGAUGUGAAAUGAUUUUGCUGAGACCAUCUUCACCCUCUUUCAAAUCCUUACGCUGGAUGACUGAUCCCUGAUCUAUAUGACCAGCAGAGACAACGGAGCACCUCACAUCAUUUAUUUCCUUGCCCUUUACAUCUUGGUGGAGCUUUUCACUUUCCUCAAUCUCUUCAAUGCAGUGUUAGUGGACAAGUUCCAGCUGAGCAUCCGCAAAAAGAGGCCUUUGAAGAGGGACACAGAGUUAGAACACCUGCAAUGGAGAAUAAUCGAACGUGUAAUGUUUCGGUGCUCUAACUAAGCUCUUAUUUUAGUCCCCAGAUGCGAAUGAGGGUGAAAUUCAGUCCACCGAGAAGACAGUAGAAGUCCUGGAGAUGAGUCAGUCAGAGAUAGAGGAGGAACUCUAGAAGGAGGCUCUCAGACAUGCUUCUAGUGAAAACAAACACAGCAAGAGGAAGAUAGAACUAAUAACAAGGCAUCUGCAAUUAAUGGCCGUCAUGGACCGGCACAUGCGAAAGUACAGAUCGCAAGCUUGUUUGCUGGACAAACAUGUGGAAACCUUCUUUAAGGACCGGGAUGAGGAGACCAAAAGUGACAGUGAUGAGUAACAUCAGACGUGCAGACCUCCAGCAUCCACCAGCCCAUUCCAGUUCAGAGCAACAUCCACCAAAUAGCGCACACACAAGCGAGCGUGCCUCCAUCACCAAUAAAGCCCGAAUGCAGAAG